rnacentral:rRNA from 1 species
CAGGCCUAACACAUGCAAGUCGAACGAUGCCUUCGGGUCUAGUGGCGCACGGGUGCGUAACGCGUGGGAAUCUGCCCUUGGGUUCGGAAUAACAGCGAGAAAUUGCUGCUAAUACCGGAUGAUGACGUAAGUCCAAAGAUUUAUCGCCCAGGGAUGAGCCCGCGUAGGAUUAGCUAGUUGGUGGGGUAAAGGCCUACCAAGGCGACGAUCCUUAGCUGGUCUGAGAGGAUGAUCAGCCACACUGGGACUGAGAUACGGACCCAACUCCUACGGGAGGCAGCAGUAGGGAAUAUUGGGCAAUGGAGGCAACUCUGACCCAGCCAUGCCGCGUGCAGGAUGAAGGCGCUCAGCGUUGUAAACUGCUUUUACUCAUGAAGAACUAUGGUCCUGCGGGAUUAUUUGACGGUAAUGAGGGAAUAAGCACCGGCUAACUCCGUGCCAGCAGCCGCGGUAAU